CCCGUUGAACUUAAGCAUAUCAAUAAGCGGAGGAAAAGAAACUAACAAGGAUUCCCUUAGUAACUGCGAGUGAAGUGGGAAAAGCUCAAAUUUAGAAUCUGGCAGUCACUUGGCUGUCCGAGUUGUAAUCUAGAGAAGUGUUGCCCGUGCUGGACCAUGUACAAGUCUCCUGGAAUGGAGCAUCACAGAGGGUGAGAAUCCUGUCUUUGACAUGGACUGCCAGUGCUUUUGUGGUAUGCUCUCAAAGAGUCGAGUUGUUUGGGAAUGCAGCUCAAAAUGGGUGGUAAAUGCCAUCUAAAGCUAAAUAUUGGCGAGAGACCGAUAGUGAACAAGUACCGUGAGGGAAAGAUGAAAAGAACUUUGGAAAGAGAGUUAAACAGUACGUGAAAUUGCUGAAAGGGAAACGCUUGAAGUCAGUCACGUUGACUUGGAAUCAGCUCUGCUUUUGCUGGGUGUACUUUCUUGUCAAUGGGUCAGCAUCAAUUUUGACCAUUGGAUAAAGUUGCUGGGAAUGUAGCAUCCUGUUGGAUGUGUUAUAGCCUGGUGAUGCAUACAGUGGUUGGGAUUGAGGAAUUCAGCACGCCACCAGGCCGGGUUUUGACCACGUUCGUGCUUAGGAUGCUGGCAUAACUGGCUUUAAUUGACCCGUCUUGAAACACGG
rnacentral:rRNA from 1 species